ACUUCCGUAACGAUCUUCAGCAUUCUGUUUCUGGAAGAAGGUUUCUUCAUAAGCUCCGUCUUGAUCACCAACCAUGAGUGCCUGGAGCCGUCAGCAUUACACCACUGAGGUGGAGGCCAGGAUCGAUCGCCUGAUCAGCAUGCAUCUGGAGGCCUCUGAUAGGUAUCUCUCUCUGGGAUUCUUUUUCAGAGAUAAGAGGUCUGAGGGUGGCCUGGUUCGCUUCUUCCGAGAUCUGUCUGAAGAGAAGCGUCAGGGUGCCUAUCUUCUCCUGAUGCAAACUCGACAGAGCAACUGUGAUCACUUCUCUGAUGGGCAGAUGAUUCCCUCUUGUCAGUGUGACGGGAGCCUGGAUGCCAUGGAAACUUCCUUGGCCUUGGAGAAGAGCCUGAACCAAGUCCUUCUGGAUCUGCACGCCCUGGGUUCAGCCAACGCAGACUUCCAACUCUGCCACUUCUUGGAGAAGCACUUCUUAGAGAAGGAGAUAAAUCUCAUCAAGAAGAUUGGCGACUACCUGACCAACCUUCGCCAGCAGGCCAGGGAGGAGGAAAGCCUGAGUGAGUGUCUCCUCAAAGGGCUCACGUUCAACACCGACUAGGGACUCCUGGAGUCCACGGGCAGUGGCCUUGAGAAGCCGCCUCUAUUUUCCUGCUCCAGCUUCUUGUCCAGUUCAGCAUCACCUGCUAAAGCCACAUGCCAAACGGAAACAAAGUUUCUUUGCGUAGACAAAAACAGCUAAGUUGGGGUGGAAUGAAGGAUUUGUUGUCUGACAGUCUCUGGCAGUGUUAAGUAAACUGUUCUUUUCUGAGUCAUCUAUACACUACAGAACUGAACCUGUGUUUGUUCUGCUCCCCCAAAACUGUAAUAAUUCAUAAAAAUUGUAUGCAGUCUUGGUGGUGGUGUGAUUUGAACCAAUUCUGUCUGCUGGACUGUGCUCCAGAUGCAUUCUAAGUUGUAUGGUUAAUUUUUGCCUAAAAGAAAAAAAAAUGGACUGACUAUCUGGACUACAUCAUAUUGUACCCCCACCUCCAACUCACCAUCAGUCACCAAAUAAUUACUUUUCCUGAUCUCCAAGUUGAUGUGAUGCCAUCUGCUUAUUCUCGGGAACCCGAGAAGCAGCAACCCCAUGAAAAUCAUCGUGGUACCUCCCACUAGGCUGCUGCUGACAACACGAACUAUCUACCAUGCACUGACCUCUUGAUGAAGAUUUUCAAGUUAAAUGUUGGAGUGGACUUCCGACUAGAAACAGUGCUCUGUUUGGUAAUUGGCUUGUUUUUGCUUUAUGGACAUGAUCAGUAGAACAAAGUUCCCAUUUCUGAUUGCCUGCUUAACCUCUUAGGGCUAACUUUGCAAUCCUGAUAAGAGGAAAUGAGAAAGGCUGCGUAAGCACUACUGUAUGUUACAUCUUUUACUAACGUGUCUGUGUGUUAUGGAUUCUUUGAUGCCAUUUUAAGGUUAAUCUUUGUAGACUGCAACUGAGAAUAUAUAGAUGAAUAAACAUUGUCACUGCA